UCGUGCUAGGCGGGGAGAUAGCGGUGCCCUGUACCUGCAAUCCGCUACAGCAGGGCCGAAUGCCUGCCUGCGGCUUCCCCUUGUGGGGACCGGCCCCCGUGUGUGGCCAUGAAGACCGGGUCCUGCGCGACGGAAGCCUAUGAACCCCGUCAGGCCCGGAAGGGAGCAGCGGUAAGUAGGAUGUUCCGGGUGCCGCAGGGGCACCUGGCCUGAGUUAACUGCGGUGGUAACGCCCGGAAGGGAAAGUCAAGGGUGGGCUGCACGG
rnacentral:SRP_RNA from 1 species